rnacentral:rRNA from 1 species
UACGUAGGGAGCAAGCGUUGUUCGGAUUUACUGGGCGUAAAGGGCGCGUAGGCGGCCACGACAAGUCACUUGUGAAAUCUCCGGGCUUAACUCGGAACGGUCAAGUGAUACUGUCGGGCUAGAGUGCAGAAGGGGCAACUGGAAUUCUCGGUGUAGCGGUGAAAUGCGUAGAUAUCGAGAGGAACACCUGCGGCGAAGGCGGGUUGCUGGGCUGACACUGACGCUGAGGCGCGAAAGCCAGGGGAGCGAACGGG